rnacentral:rRNA from 1 species
AGUGAACGCUGGCGGUAGGCCUAACACAUGCAAGUCGAACGGCAGCACAGUAAGAGCUUGCUCUUACGGGUGGCGAGUGGCGGACGGGUGAGGAAUACAUCGGAAUCUACUUUUUCGUGGGGAUAACGUAGGGAAACUUACGCUAAUACCGCAUACGACCUACGGGUGAAAGCAGGGGAUCUUCGGACCUUGCGCGAUUGAAUGAGCCGAUGUCGGAUUAGCUAGUUGGCGGGGUAAAGGCCCACCAAGGCGACGAUCCGUAGCUGGUCUGAGAGGAUGAUCAGCCACACUGGAACUGAGACACGGUCCAGACUCCUACGGGAGGCAGCAGUGGGGAAUAUUGGACAAUGGGCGCAAGCCCGAUCCAGCCAUACCGCGUGGGUGAAGAAGGCCUUCGGGUUGUAAAGCCCUUUUGUUGGGAAAGAAAAGCAGCAGGUUAAUACCCCGCUGUUCUGACGGUACCCAAAGAAUAAGCACCGGCUAACUUCGUG